AUACGGAGGGUGCAAGCGUUAUUCGGAAUCACUGGGCGUAAAGGGUGCGUAGGCGGUUUGAUAAGUCUGAUGUGAAAUCCUAUGGCUCAACCAUAGAACUGCAUUGGAAACUGUCAGACUAGGAUACUGAAGGGGCAGAUGGAAUUAGUGGUGUAGGGGUAAAAUCCGUAGAUAUCACUAGGAAUACCGAAAGCGAAAGCGAUCUGCUGGGAAGUUAUUGACGCUGAGGCACGAAAGCGUGGGGAGCAAACGGGAUUAGAAACCCUAGUAGUCC
rnacentral:rRNA from 1 species